rnacentral:rRNA from 1 species
UACAGAGGGGGCAAGCGUUAUUCGGAAUUAUUGGGCGUAAAGGGCGCGUAGGCGGCUUUUCAAGUGACGGGUGAAAGCCCUCGGCUUAACCGAGGAACUGCCUGUCAGACUGGAAGGCUUGAGACCGGGAGAGGUGAGUGGAAUUCCCAGUGUAGCGGUGAAAUGCGUAGAUAUCAGGAGGAACACCAAUAGCGAAGGCAGCUCGCUGGGACGGUAUUGACGCUAAGGCGCGAAAGCGUGGGGAGCAAACAGG